AUUGAACGCUGGCGGCAUGCUUUACACAUGCAAGUCGAACGGUAACAGGGUGCUUGCACCGCUGACGAGUGGCGAACGGGUGAGUAAUGCGUCGGAACGCACCGAGUAAUGGGGGAUAACGCAGCGAAAGCUGUGCUAAUACCGCAUACGCUCUGAGGAGGAAAGCGGGGGACCUUCGGGCCUCGCGUUAUUCGAGCGGCCGACGUCUGAUUAGCUAGUAGGUGAGGUAAGAGCUCACCUAGGCGACGAUCAGUAGCGGGUCUGAGAGGAUGAUCCGCCACACUGGGACUGAGACACGGCCCAGACUCCUACGGGAGGCAGCAGUGGGGAAUUUUGGACAAUGGGCGAAAGCCUGAUCCAGCCAUGCCGCGUGUCUGAAGAAGGCCUUCGGGUUGUAAAGGACUUUUGUCAGGGAGGAAAUCCCUAGUGCUAAUAACACUGGGGGAUGACAGUACCUGAAGAAUAAGCACCGGCUAACUACGUGCCAGCCGCCGCAGUAA
rnacentral:rRNA from 1 species